rnacentral:misc_RNA from 1 species
UAUUGAGUUUAUGGACUUGUACAGCUACCUCAUUCCAGUUUAUGAGAUUGAGCCACUUGAGAAGAUUACUGAUGCAUAUCUGGAUCAGUACCUAUGGUAUGAAGGUGAUAAGCGUCAUCUCUUCCCAAAUUGGAUUAAGCCUGCCGACUCAGAGCCACCACCUCUGUUGGUGUACAAAUGGUGUCAAGGCAUAAACAAUUUGCAAGGAGUAUGGGACACUAGUGAAGGACAGUGUGUGGUGAUGCUGC